rnacentral:rRNA from 1 species
GACGAACGCUGGCGGCGUGCCUAAUACAUGCAAGUAGAACGCUGAAGGAGGAGCUUGCUUCUCUGGAUGAGUUGCGAACGGGUGAGUAACGCGUAGGUAACCUGCCUGGUAGCGGGGGAUAACUAUUGGAAACGAUAGCUAAUACCGCAUAAGAGUAGAUGUUGCAUGACAUUUGCUUAAAAGGUGCAAUUGCAUCACUACCAGAUGGACCUGCGUUGUAUUAGCUAGUUGGUGGGGUAACGGCUUACCAAGGCGACGAUACAUAGCCGACCUGAGAGGGGGGUCGGCCACCCUGGGACUUAGACACGGCCCAGACUCCUACGGGAGGCAGCAGUAGGGAAUCUUCGGCAAUGGACGGAAGUCUGACCGAGCAACGCCGCGGGAGUGAAGAAGGUUUUCGGAUCGGAAAGCUCUGUUGUAAGAGAAGAACGAGUGUGAGAGUGGAAAGUUCACACUGUGACGGUAUCUUACCAGAAAGGGACGGCUAACUACGUG